GCUGAAUGUGGGGAUAAUUUAUCUMSGUGUUKUAGCUAACGCGSUWAGCACUCCGCCUGGGGACUACGGUCGCAAGACUAAAACUCAAAGGAAUUGACGGGGACCCGCACMAGCGGUGGAGCAUGUGGUUUAAUUCGAUGCAACGCGAAAAACCUUMCCACUCCUUGACAUGGAGAUUAGAUCCUUCUUAACAGAAGGGCGCAGUUCGGCUGGAUCUCGCACAGGUGCUGCAUGGCUGUCGUCAGCUCGUGUCGUGAGAUGUUGGGUUAAGUCCCGCAACGAGCGUAACCCUCAUCCUUAGUUGCCAGCGGGUAAGCCGGGCACUUUAAGGAAACUGCCGGUGGUAAACCGGAGGAAGGUGGGGAUGAUGUCAAGUCAGCACGGCCCUUAUGGGGUGGGCUACACACSUGCUACAAUGGUGACUACAAUAGGUUGCAAUGUCGCAAGGCUGAGCUAAUCCGUAAAAGUCAUCUCAGUUCGGAUUGUCCUCUGCAACUCGAGGGCAUGAAGUCGGAAUCGCUAGUAAUCGUGGAUCAGCAUGCCACGGUGAAUACGUUCUCGGGUCUUGUACACACUGCCCGUCACGCCAAUGGGAAUUGGCUUAACUCGAAGSYGGWGCGCUAACCGAAAGGAAGCAGCCAU
rnacentral:rRNA from 1 species